rnacentral:sRNA from 1 species
CAAAUAUCAAGACAGAUUUCUAUUUGUCCAUGCAGGAGAAACUCUUGGACGUUUGAAAGAAUUCAUUGAGCCAUGUCUUACAAUUUCAUUGCCUUGGUCGUUUUGAUUCUUCACUGUAUCUACGUGAUAUCAGCCUUGGACAGGUACGGUCAGGACGGCUACUACCAGCGUGACCUAGACGGCUAUGGAGGUCUGUACGGAGGUUACCCAAUGAGAUACGGGGGCUAUGGUGGCUACGACCUUCCCUAAAA